rnacentral:rRNA from 1 species
CCUACGGGAGGCAGCAGUGGGGAAUAUUGGACAAUGGGCGCAAGCCUGAUCCAGCAAUGCCGCGUGUGUGAAGAAGGUCUUCGGAUUGUAAAGCACUUUCGACGGGGACGAUGAUGACGGUACCCGUAGAAGAAGCCCCGGCUAACUUCGUGCCAGCAGCCGCGGUAAUACGAAGGGGGCUAGCGUUGCUCGGAAUGACUGGGCGUAAAGGGCGCGUAGGCGGAUGAUACAGUCAGAUGUGAAAUUCCCGGGCUCAACCUGGGGGCUGCAUUUGAUACGUGCUGUCUAGAGUGAGGAAGAGGGUCGUGGAAUUCCCAGUGUAGAGGUGAAAUUCGUAGAUAUUGGGAAGAACACCGGUGGCGAAGGCGGCGACCUGGUCCUUUACUGACGCUGAGGCGCGAAAGCGUGGGGAGCAAACAGGAUUAGAUACCCUGGUAGUCCACGCCGUAAACGAUGUGUGCUGGAUGUUGGGUGACAUAGUCACUCAGUGUCGUAGCUAACGCGAUAAGCACACCGCCUGGGGAGUACGGCCGCAAAGGUUGAAACUCAAAUGAAUUGACGG